GCCUAGUUAGCUUGGUUGGUAGGGCGUCUGCCUUGUAAGCGUUAGGCCGCGGGUUCGAUGCCCGCCCCGGGCU
rfam:Asian citrus Psyllid, Diaphorina citri - Florida Strain, whole genome shotgun sequence.